rnacentral:lncRNA from 1 species
CCACCGAAACUACAAAUUUCAAACCUAGUCCUUCACAAUGGGUAACUCUCGCGCUUUUACACCUCCACAAUCGAUCUCGCGCGAUUCAGUACAUAAAAUAUUACGACUUUUGCGAAUUUCCCGAUUUUCCACUCUCGACCCCUUAGCCAACUUAUUGCAAUUCCCAAAGAUCCGUCCAUCGGAUUUCCGAUCGGAUCACGCCAACGCAUUCAGCACGUCGAGGCAUCGAAUCUAACAUUUUGUUUCGUCAGAUUUGAUCUCUGAUUCACGACGAAAUCCAUUCUCUCUCCAAAAGGCCAAAAUGAUGCACAAUUACAUAA